CUACGCCCAACCAAUCAAAGAAAGUAAGAAAUUAACAUUAAGAGAUCGAAAUGACAGCAGCUGUUUGAAUCUCUACCGCAUAUGCAUGAUUGUUGCAUAAAUUUUUAAUUUACUUUCGAAUCUCCUAUUCCUUCUUUUUGCUAGUCUAGGCCAUU
rnacentral:ribozyme from 12 species